rnacentral:piRNA from 1 species
UGGUGAGCCAAAUCCAAAUGCCCUGGUC